GUGCAAUACAUUAUGGUAGUCUGCAUAUUCAUAUAUACAACCAAGUGUGUGAAAAUACUGCCAAAUUUACAGACUAGCAAGUGGUAUUAGUCACUUCUUACUCAAUUCAAAUGCAAGUCUUAACAAGAAUUGAUGAUAGUUUGUUUGGGUAAAUAUAUCUGGGUGCGUAAUGAGCUCUAACCAUGACUUCUUGGAUCAGAAAUUUGAUGGACCUUACGCGAUUCAGCACUUGUAUAUUGUCCCACAGCGCGAGAAUAAGGUAUUGAUUCUUUUCCUUUUGCAAGGGCGUCUACAUUCUCAAGCAAAUACUGUUUUGGAAGGCGGCCAACAACAUUACCUUCCUCAUUUCCGUCUUUAUCCAGGAAUGCAAAAUGGGGAAUGCCCUCGACUCCAAACUCAUCGAGCUCUUGUUCCCACUUCGUGUUAUCCACAUUCAACAUAACAAAAUUCACGCGGUCCUUGUACUGCUGUUCAACUUUAUAGACAUCUGAAGCUAAUUCUCGACAAACUUCACACCAAUCGGCAUAGAAUUCCACAACAGUAGGCUUUCCAUUGGAAAGAGCCUCUUCAUAUGGCAGUGCUGCAGCCGUGAUAUCCUUCAAAGAAACACCUAAAUCUAGUCUCUGUGAAGAGAAAAGUCCUAGUGCUGCAAUGACUGACACUAGUGCUACUCGCCGAUUGAAGUCUCUGGUUGGAUAUUCAGGGCCAGUAGAGGGAGGAGAGACUUCAGCUUUACUACUCUCAGCGCCAGCACCUGGAUCUAUUGAGGACUUCUCCUUUACUGCAGAUUCAUACGGGUCAGAGCUUGGUUGACAGCAAUCCCCUGUUUUGGGCUCUGUUUGACAAUAUAUUCUUUGAUACUUUUGAAGAUUGUUCAGCUGAUAAUUGAAAGGUUUCACAGAGUGCAAAGUUUGAUAAGGUCGAAAAUGGAAGGGCUUUGGUCUGUGUAAUCCAAUAGAGCU
rnacentral:misc_RNA from 1 species